rnacentral:rRNA from 1 species
AUACGGAAGGUCCGGGCGUUAUCCGGAUUUAUUGGGUUUAAAGGGUGCGUAGGCUGUGCGUUAAGUCAGGGGUGAAAUGCCGUCGCUCAACGACGGAGCUGCCCUUGAUACUGGCGUGCUGGAGUACGGAUGCCGUUGGAGGAAUGAGUGGUGUAGCGGUGAAAUGCUUAGAUAUCACUCAGAACACCGAUUGCGAAGGCAUCUGACGAAUCCGUCACUGACGCUGAGGCACGAAAGCGUGGGGAUAGAACAGGAUUAGAUACCCUGGUAUUCCACGCCGUAAACGAUGAUGACUAACCGUCGGCGAUAGACAGCCGGUGGCCAAGCGAAAGCGAUAAGUCAUCCACCUGGGGAGUACGUCGGCAACGAUGAAACUCAAAGGAAUUGACGGGG